GUCGCCCAGCCAUUAUGGUGGCUAUGUCCCUCGGCUUGUAACCGAGUGGGUUCGGGUUCGAAUCCCGAGUAAGACA
rnacentral:tRNA from 1 species